UGUGUAAGCGCAGCGAUGCGUUGAGCUAACCGGUACUAAUGAACCGUGAGGCUUAACUUUACAACGCCGAAGGUGUUU
rnacentral:rRNA from 1 species